rfam:Gossypium hirsutum cultivar TM-1 chromosome 6, whole genome shotgun sequence
GCUAAGAUGUAGCUUUUGUCUGCAUUUGCACCUGCACCUUAUUGUUUGUUUCAGCUAUGUCAGAAAAACAAAACACUGUUAAAUAUGUUUUGUGUGGUGUGGUUGGAGACCAAACAAAGAGGUGCAGAUGCAGUUGCAGAUGAAUGCCAUUUUAGC